GYUAAUCCCAYUAAAGAGUCCUUAUCAAUAGUGGGGUUUGGCACCUCGAUGUUGGCUUAGGGAAUCUAUGUGGCGCAAAAGUCACAUAAAGAUGGUUUGUUCAACCAAAAAUACCCUACAUGAGCUGAGUUCAGACCGGCGUAAGCCAGGUUAGCUUCUAUCCUCGACAAAAAAACCUACUUAUAGUACGAAAGGACCUAAGUAUGGAUAACAUUUAUAUUCUAUGAAUCCAUAUAAAUUAGAUUUAAUUAUAUACGAACAUACACUAUG
rnacentral:rRNA from 1 species